CCCCAUGAUUCAGUUACCUCCCACUGAGUCCCUCCCACAACACAUGGUGGUUAUGGGAGCUACAAUUCAAGGUGAGACUUGGGUGGAGACACAGCCAAACCAUAUCAGAUGCGUAACUGGUAUAUGAGCUAUAUAAUGAAGAAAUAAUAUAAAAGAUCAAGAGAAUGAUUACCUAUUGGAAGAGAUGAGGAGAGUUGGAAACUGAACAAAGAUAAAAUGUGGAAUUUUCAUGUCAGUCUGUGAACAAAGAACAGGACUCAACAGAUGGUGCCUGCACUUCC
rnacentral:lncRNA from 1 species